AGAACUAGUUAAAGUAGGUACCUUUUGUAUAAGGGUUUCUCAAGAUAUUUUUAUACUUAUAAGUCACUCGAAAAAGAAAAAUCUAUUUCAUUAAUUUUAUAGUGUAGCAUAACUAUAAAAAAUUAUGAGAUAAAAGCUAUAUACUAUUUGCUUUCUUUGAUAUCUAGUUAGUCUAAAAACAUAUUUAGUAUGCUUGUUAAGUUUAACAGUCCAUAGUAGUUGGGAUAAGCUAAUUACUUAAAGUUAUUGAUUAGGUUUCAGUUAAGUAACUUGAUAGUAGGCUUCAAAUUUGUCAUUAAUAAUAUUGUUAUAAAAAUAAAGUUUAUAGUUUUUGCUAUUUAUUUCAAAGUUCAUUAUUUAGAGAUAGGCUUAUAUUUGUAUGAAAUAACAAUAAUGAUGGAAAUAAGUAGAGUUUUAUUUAGUCAACAAAUCAAUUUGUUUUAAAAGGUUAAAAUUUUAUUUUAUAUGUGUAAUUAACUCGGCAAAAAUGGUGUUUUUCGACUGUUUAGCAAAAACUUUUCUUUAUGAUAUGAUUUAAAGUAAGCCCUGCCCGGUGUAGUAUUAACGGCAGCCUUAGCGUGAGGGUUCAAAGGUAGCGUGGUAAAUCGGCUUUUAAUUGAAGUCUGGAAUGAAUGGGUUAACGUAAAAACAACUGUCUCACACAUAUAGCUAUAAAUUAAGUUCAAGGUGAAGAUGCCUUGAUUAUUUAGAAAGACGACAAGACCCUAUGAAGCUUUAUUUAUUUUAUAGAUUGUUUUUAAUUUAUAAGAGAAAUUUGUUGGGGAAACAAAUCAAAAAGUUUUGAUAUUUAAAAUAUUACUUACAAGUUAAGCCUAAUUUUUUAUGUUUGAUUAGUUACUCUAUGGAUAACAGCGUUAUUUGUUUUAAAAGUUCUUAUUUUAAAAUAAGAUUACGACCUCGAUGUUGGCUUUGGGUAAGCUUUAAGGUGCAGCAGCUUUUUGAGCGAGUCUGUUCGACUUUUAAAUCCCAACAUGAGCUGAGUUCAGACCGGCGUAAGCUAGGUCAGUUUCUAUCUUCUAAAUUUUAUAAGGGGGUGGUUUUGUACGAAAGGACUAAUCAGCCAGAAUUAUUUUAAUCUAGUGGUUACAUU
rnacentral:rRNA from 1 species